GCAGGGGUGACGCCCUCCCAUGACAGCCCAGACACCUGCGGCAGCUUGAAAUUUGCAUGUCUCUAAGAGGAAGCGUCAAGCUCAGGCUAAGAAUGAAGUGAGCAGCGAGAACGAAAGUAGGAAGCCGGAAGCUGGAGGCCAGCUGGGCCCUGCAGGCUCGAGGCAACAUUGUUUUACAAAAGGUGCAGAACCAGGAGGACUGAGCCCAGGGUCAGAGCCAGAGAAGCAAGACUUCCUUGUACAUAAGUCUCUGCUCAUGUUUUUUUUUUUUUAAUCGCUUUUGUCAAGUUCUGCAGGAGGCUAAUUAUUCUGUCAGAUUUAAAGCUCUGGAUGCCUGCCAGUUCCACGUUGCUUUUCAGAAAUACAAAGUCGAUUUUCUCUCCCCUUAGGGAUGUCUGAUGACUGAGAUGAGCAUCCAGUCUUUAAAAAGUCGUUGUUAAAAAUCCAGAAGGGAUAAAGAAGAAAGCUGGUGGCCCCUCUCAUUCGCUUCUCUCCGCAUCCCAGAGAGGAGGCCCGCCCCGCCUGCCUCUGCUCUGUGUGAUGCAUUCAUCUGACCAAGCGCAGGAAGGGCCCGUCCAACUCCAGGCCGUCUGACCGUCCCGGGACCUCAUCUUCAGGACGGCGCGGCUCCUGGACCUGGUGAGUCUCCACGUGCGUGAAUUCUCUGUCCACAGCGCAACUGCUCCAAAGCGUUCAGUGUUUCUUGUUGGCAGGAUCGUUCAGGUUCCAGGGAGCUCUCCCCCGACGUGCCACACGGUUCACAUUCAAAGACAUUGGUGUCUGUAUCCAUCGCUGUUAAUUCACGUACCACGUCUCUCCUCCCUCCGUGGGGAGUUCUCCUGGGGGAACAGAGCUGCUCAGGCAGCGAACCCGCCUGGCACACGGGUAUCACCCAGGCCGAGCCUCUGUGAGUCCGCAGACAAUGCCUCGUGAUGCCGAGAAUCACCUGUUGUCUGAGCCCCUGCUGAGUUCUUGUUCCCUUUGUGCAGUUCGUUCUCUGAACAAACAGAUAGCUCUGAGCCCCGUCCUCCCCAGGCUGGUGGGAACCGCAUCCGGCCCCCCCGGGAGGUCCCACCUCCCCUCUGGCUUUACUACAGCUCUGGGAUUUCUUUCAAACCUCCACGGACAAACCACCACACCGAAAAGGCACAGAAAAUCCUACUGAAUUAUCCCAGAGUGGACACACCCGUGUAACUGCCUCCCAGGCCCAGAGACAGCAACAGUGGUCCAGGAGGCCAGACACCCGCCCACCUCGGGCUCACCCUCCCUCCCUCCCUGUGGGCACAGAUAACGCCGCCCUGACAUCACACUGCCUCCCAGGGCCUCCUUUCUCCGUUGUCGCGGUCAGGCACCCUUUCUUCCUGCGCCUGCCAAGCCCAGGAGCUGAUGGCGGGGCUGAGGCCAGCAGCUCACAGCCCACACGGACCCCACACCCCGAGCCCCGAGGCUGGCUUUGCCCAGGGAUCCUGGUGGCACGCGGUGCCCGGUGACACAGCCUGCUGCAGGUGUCGGGGUCGGCCUUCGAGGGGCACACGGCUCCCGAUUCUUCCGCAGGCGAAGGUGCCUGGCCGCCUCUGCUUCCCGCACACUCCGCAAGGGCAGGCCAGGCCUCCGGGACCCUCGGCAGGCCUAGAAUUUCACCGACGUCCUGUAAUUUUCAGUCCCUGCGUCUAUUUUCGGGCUCUGGCCGCAGAUCACGGAGAUGCGAAUGCUCUACCGCGUUGUGAUUGUAGCCCCGACGGCUGCAGCAACGGGCGGGGAGGGCGGGGCGGCCAGCCCCGUAGACAGCAAGGGUGUCCGUGUUCCAUACCACGCAAUGGCCUCUAGAGACAAAGCGUGUGAACAGGGAUGUACGCGUGUGAUAAACUGCGUCCUGUGCUGUGCACCAGAAGCGAACACAGCACUGGAAGAAGAAAGCUGCGGUCUUUUCAAUCAUCAGUGUGAAAGGAAUGGCAGAGAAAAUUUUAAAAAAAUAUUCAGCGUACGUGUCAUCUCAUGGAAAUGAGCUGACCCGUCCCCCGGGAUUUUGAUAAACUCACUUUUUAAUAAUUCAAAUGCAGUGAUUUUGCCCCAAAAGCUGUAGCUGUCAUUCAGCGCUGUGCUAAUUCCUCCUGCGAGACGAGGUGACUCAAAGGCAGUUCAUCCGGAAUCACAGGCUCGCCGUAAGUACCAGCUCAGGACUCCCGGCCGAGCAGGACGCGGGGACUGGCCCUUUGCUCCCUCCUGAAGCUCCGGGCCCCCGAACGAUGGCGCUCAGCCCCGGGGACCCUCAGCCCCCGUCUCCAGGUCAGCCUGGCCUGGAACUGGGCUCACAUUUACGUGAGUCCGCAAGCCCGAGCCGCCCCACAGGUGACCCCGGGAAGCCUCAGGUUCACCGAAGAUACGCAGAAAAAGGGGCUCCACGUUUCACUCUAAGUUUCAUUUCCAUCGUGUUAAAGUUGAGCGACGAGGCAGAGGACGAGGGACACAGCGAGAAGCCGUGUGUUCCAGGGAAAGAGCGUUCCUGUGACUCAGGCCUCCGGUCCGUAAUUCACGUGGGAUCAUUCUGAGGUUUUGUGUGGAGGGGAUUACAUCAGGACCAGAGGUCUUCUGAGAGGAGCUGCAAACAUCCAGACGUGACUUCCUGGAGCCCGGUGGCCUUGGGGAUUUGGGGGGGCGGGUGCUGGUGAGGGCUCGCAGGGGUCAUCUGUGUGCGCCCGUGGUCAGUCACGUAGGCCUGGCAGAAACCCAGAGUGUGUGCUGCUGGGUGGCCGGCCUGGCCCAGUGACCACGGACAGCGCCUCUCUGACCUCAGUUCUGCUCUGUGCAGGCGGGUUAACCCCACGCCCCGCUCACGUCCCAGGGUUUUGAGAGGGUCUCAGUGAGACGGGUGCCCGUAUGAGCACCUGGCAAGGAGGGUGUGAGCCUCAGCAAUGAUUGUGGGGUGAAGGUGAGGCAGCUGAUGGAGGGGUCUGCACUGAUGGGGGGGCCCACACUCUUUCCCAUGGGAACAGGGUGACAGUCUGGCAGUGCCCCUGGCACCCACGCCCCUGGAUAAGGGUCCCUGCCCAGGAGCAGGGCUGGGGGACAGUGGACACAGGGGCCCCCAGGCGGCUGACGGGGGCCUCAGCUGUCAUGUCUGCUCAGUUUGGAAACAUUGGCGAGGGAGCUGGGGUCUGGCGCUGGCACGGGGCUCUGGGGGGGGCCAGGCUAGGCUCCCGCCCUCAGGGGCCCCCAGCCCCUAGACGCGAGGGGAAGACACCCAGUGCUCUGGUGUUCCAAGGCCAUGCUGCUGUCUGUCCCUCCUCGGGGAGGGAUCCGAGCCGGGACAUGAACCUGGUCCCCACCCGCCUUCCAAGGUCAUUCAGGCUCAGACACAGCCCCCUCCUCCGCAAAGCGUGACCCUCUCGCGAUGAAGCCGGUCCAGCAAAACCAGAGAGAGGGGCUGCCCGUGAAGUUAGGAACUGACAAACCCCCAACCCCCACCCCGAGAGGGGGAUGUGGGGCUCCAGCCACCCGCACAGUUACUGAGGGCGCGCCCCAACCAGGCUUCGCAGCGGGAGUUCGGAGCGGAUGCUCCCCCAGGUGGACAAGGAAAUCGCGGAUGUGUAGGCAAGGCUGCUUUGCUGGUGGAGAAACGCCUCGCUGUCCUGGCCUGACAAACACUGGGCCCCGCAAGGUCUGAGGAGACAGCAGAGACCACGAGCACGGCCCCUUCCUUAGAGGUGCCGACAUCCGGCCGUCCGGUCACCCAGAGGGAAGCAGCAUAAAUACAGGAUUCCUGCUUAAAAUGUGUAGGUUGUCGAGCGUCCUUGGAGCGACCGGUGAGUUUCCACUUCUCAUCACGGGUGAACCCAAGGAUUUUAAAGCCACUGAUGGGUCUGGUCCAGAGAAAUCUUUUCUCCUUUUUGACACUGAAAUUGUUCCAUCAUUC